GACACAAUACUCAAAGGCAGCCCUACCUUCAGACACCUUCUACAAGGAACCAUGUGAUAGAGAGAAUGUGGUCGGAGGUGAAUGCUCGAGUCAACUACCCUUUGAAGACAGCUCUGGUACAGCUGGUGGACCAGGAGGAACUGGACAUGGAGGACAACACAUCCAGGUAUUGUGUGUCAAACCUGACAUGCCAGCUGGCUAGGAUUGGCAUCACAAAUGUCGUACAGGCAUGGAAUGCACACAGGAUCCCAGGAAGGGGAAUACCAAACGAACUGGCUAAAGAAGGGUAUCCUGCAAAACUUUCUGAGGACCUUCUGCCAGUCGGUGCAGUUGCAGCUGACCUGUAUCAGCAGGAAAUGGGAUCAGCCUUGAAAAGAGAAUCCAUUUUUGGAAGUGAUCCUUUCCCCUCUGAAGAAGCCCAACAAUGGACUGAAACUGAGUUUGGUUCUCUCUUUGAUUUGCUAUCCCUCUACCAAAAUGUGGUUAACCAUAACUAUGGCCCUUUUAAAAAUGCAGUGAGGUCUCUGAUUGAUAUCAC